CGGGACGGGUGAGUAAUGUAUGGGGGUCUGCCUGAUGGCGGGGGAUAACUACUGGAAACGGUAGCUAAUACCGCAUAAUGUCUACGGACCAAAGCGGGGGACCUCCGGGCCUCGCGCCAUCAGAUGAACCCAUAUGGGAUUAGCUUGUAGGUAAGGUAACGGCUUACCUAGGCGACGAUCCCUAGCUGGUCUGAGAGGAUGAUCAGCCACACUGGGACUGAGACACGGUCCAG
rnacentral:rRNA from 1 species